rnacentral:rRNA from 1 species
GUCUCUUUGAGUUUUUUUAAUGAAGAGUUGGGCCUGCUCGGUGAUUAAUAUUUAACAGCUGCGGUAUUAUAACUGUACUAAGGUAGCAUAAUAAUUUGCUCUAUAAAUUGGGGCUAGAAUGAAUGGUUUGACGAGAAUUUAACUGUCUCUAUUUUAUUUAUUAGAAAUUAAUUUUUAUAGUGAAAAAGCUUUAAUUAUUUAAAGGGACGAAAAGACCCUAUUGAGCUUUUGUUAUUAUAUAGAUAUAUAUAUAUGUAUAUAUAUAUGAUUUAUUUGUAAAUAACUUUGGUUGGGGUGAUCAAGGAAUAAAAAUUAAUUUAAAGUGUUUUAUUAACUUCCUUAAUUUUAAAUUUAGUUGAAGAAUAAACCAAGUUUUUUGCUUAGAAGAUAAGUUACCAUAGGGAUAACAGCGUAAUUUUUUUUGAGAGUUCAUAUUGAAAAAAGAGAUUGCGACCUCGAUGUUGGAUUAAAAUUGACCUUAAGGUGUAGAGGCUUUAUUAGGUAAAUCUGUUCGAUUUUUAAAAUUUU